rnacentral:lncRNA from 1 species
AAUCAAAUUGACUCAAAAAGAAACUAGAACUUGAUUUGGACGAAUUUGAAAGUGUUUAUGACUCCAAAUGCUUAAAAACACAAAAUAAAACAGAAUUGAAUGACUAAGACUCAACAAAAUAUGGGGGGAUUAUGUUUGGAUGAAUUUAAAUUAAAUGGGCAGAUUGUAAAGAAAACAAAUUGUAGACAAAAUUGUGAUGAAUUAAUGGAUGAUGGAAUAGCUAAGGGGUUCUCCUCCACACAUGAAAUAUAUGCAACGUAAAUCAAUUUCCAGUUAUCAAUUUAAUAAGUUAUGAACCUCGACACUCCAAGUUAAUUAGGUCCGCUUAAAUUAACCUUCAGAUUUCCCUAGAAUCAUUGAAUUGGAUGAAUAUGCAUGGCAAACAAAUUAUUCCUAACAAGUUCUUUAUAUGAACAGCAUGAUAAAGACACAAGUUAGAAUCAUUAUGUUCUUUGGAAAUAAUAAACAUCGACAAGGCAUUUGUAACUAUGAAAAGCAUGAUACUCUUGCCAGGAAUCUACUUAACAUGAUCGUGACUAGCGACCUUCACUACUUGCGAAUAUAAAUUCAUAACGAUUAGGUGAAACAAACUUAUAUCCUAGCACCAAAUUCAAGCAUGCAAAUUAAGCGUGCACUCUCAAUCAACAUACAAGAAUAAGUUCUAAAUCAAACGGUUAAGUAAAUUGUAUUCACGACUUAUGCAACGAUAACUGGAAGUAAUCAACUUAUUUCACAUAUAUAAUCAUGGUUUUUGAUAAGAGCAUAUUUAUGCGCCUUAGUUAGCUAGUUCUUAUGCAUUUAUGUUGUGUUUUCUUAGUUAAGUUAGUCUUUUAAGCUAUUUUCAUGUGUUUCAGGUUUUAAGGAUAAAGUAAGCAAAAAGAUGCAAAUUGGAGCAUUUUGGAGCAAAAUUGAGCUAGAAUGGAGCUCAUGCAUGUGGAGCACAAAGAAUGGACGAAUUUGAAGGAUUGAAGAAGCUAGGAAUGCGUUUCAAAGUUGAAGAAUUGAAGAUGCAAAGUUUCCUAAUUGAAGUAGGAAAGUGCUUAAUUGAAGAUGAAAUCCUAGUCAACAAAGGAUUCCUAGUUGAAGAAUGAUUCCUAAGUGAAGUUGGAUUUCUAGAAGAUUGAAGUUUCCUACUCAAACAAGGUUUCCUACUUGAAGAAGGGAGGUUAAAGCCAAAGAAUCAGCUCAAGUGAAGAAACCUUAUCCAAAACAUUAUCCAUAACCUUAUCCUAUCCUAUCUUAUCCUAAUCCUCAUUUACCUAUAAUUCAGCUACAAAAGGGAUUUCUUUUCCUAUUUGGAGACUUAAAACCUGAUUUCUAGAAGGCCUUAUCCCUUGUCCUACAAAAGUGACGCCCCAAAUCUUUCUAGAACUUCUAGAAACCUGAUUAUUCCUUUCCCCCUUGGUUUCUAAAAGCCUUAGCCUUUUCCUUCAAGGAUUGAUCACUCAUAUAUUUCAUGCAUUUAUACCAUCCAUUUCUAAAGUUUUUGUGAUGUUUUUAUGUUAAAAUUGUAGCAAUUUACCUUACCUUGUGUUAAUGUACAGUUAAAUUUGUUUUAGGAUUAAUUUCAAACAAAAUGGACUGACAAAGAAAAUAAAAGACAAGAGAGAAGAAAUAAUGGAUUGAUGCAUGAAUAAUUAAAGGAAAAGAAGAAUAAUAAAAAGGGAGAGAGAAGUGCUGGACGACAAGAAUAACAGAAAAGAAAUAAUAAGAAAGAGCAGUGGAGGGCAAGCUGGCAGAAACAAAACAAAAGAAAAUAAAAGGCAGAGAAAAUGGAAGGCAAAAGACGUAAAAGAAAUAAAAUAAGAGAAUAGUGGGAAGGAAGUGGGUACACACUGACAAAGAAAAUAAAAGAAGAAGAGACUGACAGCAAGCGGAAGAAAAAGGGCAGAGAGAGAGGCAGAGACACGGGAAGCUGCCCAAGGCAGCGCAGAAAAGGAGGGCACAGGGCAGUGUGCGGAAAAAUAGAAAAAGGCAGAACAGAAGAAGGGCAGAGUGGGAAGAGGG